rnacentral:lncRNA from 1 species
AUGAGCUCGGGAGGACACAACUUGCUGAAACUGGAGCCCAUAGCAGUGAUGAUGAAGUUUGAUUCACUUCACAUCUCGGGGGAACCUGAGCUCUCCUACAAUCUGAGCAGAGUGGAGCAGGAGGCACCAUGUUUCCAUGCAUCAGUGAUAACAAUAAAGCUUGGCAUGCAAAAGGACAGUGUUGGCCUCAAGAGAAGUGUGAAACAUAACAGAAGACCUGGUGAGGAGCGAGAAGAUGAUUAGCUUGGACACAAACAAGUGAGUCUCACACUCUCUCCCUAAUGAUUUGUUCCAAUGGAAUUGGUUUAUAGUGAAGAUGUUGGACGUUGGCCCACAUACUGACAGACAGGAGCAGGUAACACUGAGCCAUGUGUUCUCUGGACUUUACCAAAACGCCCAGCUUAACCUCGAAGCCGAGUGUGAGCUGGAGAAAUGUCAAGGGCCACAGGGAGUUGACCAAGCUAUUCAAGCUGUCCCCUUGAGGGCUCUGCCUCAGACUGGUGUGUCAGCUCAGCUCCUUCCACUCUAAUGGCAUGGGGAGGAAAUGAAGAAGGGAAAGAAAAAGAGGAAAGGAAAAAUAUUUUUUUAACCUUUCAGAUCCAUGAUUUUGUCAGCUGUAGCUACAGCUGGGACCAAAGCACCUUCUAAACUGGCUCAUUUCCAGUUUUAUCAGGAGAUAAAACUUAUUUUACCAGGAGAUAAAAAAGCAACAGCACAUUGUUGGAGGCCAUUUCAUGGACCAAACUCUGACCCUAGCCUGUGAGAUUUUUAGGACUAUGUCAUUGAAGACUCUGGCUGCCGGUUUGGGAACACCUAUUGCAAAUAAGUACAUCACAGUAGUUCAGAUUUUCUGUUUUUGAAAUUGGCGUUGGCAUUUUUCUAGCUGUACAUCCUUAACCUCUGUCUGCCUAAAUUUACCCACCUCUGAAAUGAAAAUGAAAUGACAGAUAAAAUGCAUUGAAAUGUGAAAAUGUACAAAAGCUCAAUAAACAUAGUAUAUAUAAUACUAGUACUCUCUUA